rnacentral:rRNA from 1 species
AACGAACGCUGGCGGCAGGCUUAACACAUGCAAGUCGAACGCAUCCUUCGGGGUGAGUGGCAGACGGGUGAGUAACGCGUGGGAACGUGCCCUCCAGUUCGGGAUAACCCAGGGAAACUUGGGCUAAUACCGGAUACGUGCGAGAGCAGAAAGAUUUAUCGCUGAAGGAUCGGCCCGCGUCUGAUUAGCUAGUUGGUGGGGUAAUGGCCCACCAAGGCGACGAUCAGUAGCUGGUCUGAGAGGAUGAUCAGCCACAUUGGGACUGAGACACGGCCCAAACUCCUCCGGGAGGCAGCGGUGGGGAAUAUUGGACAAUGGGCGCAAGCCUGAUCCAGCCAUGCCGCGUGAGUGAUGAAGGCCUUAGGGUUGUAAAGCUCUUUCGUCCGGGACGAUAAUGACGGUACCGGAAGAAGAAGCCCCGGCUAACUUCGUGCCAGCCGCCGCCGUAA